UACAGAGGGGGCAAGCGUUAUUCGGAAUUAUUGGGCGUAAAGGGCGCGUAGGCGGCCUGGCAAGUGGAAGGUGAAAUCCCUCGGCUUAACCGAGGAACUGCCCUCCAAACUGCUUGGCUUGAGACCGGGAGAGGUGAGUGGAAUUCCCAGUGUAGCGGUGAAAUGCGUAGAUAUUGGGAGGAACACCGAUGGCGAAGGCAGGUCUCUGGGCCGAUACUGACGCUGAGGAGCGAAAGCGUGGGGAGCGAACAGG
rnacentral:rRNA from 1 species